GUGCUCAUGUCAGUGGCUUGUAUGCUAAAAUUGGCAUGAUACAGGUAUUAGCAUGGCCCUUGUGUAAGGAAGACCCAUAAGUUCAUGGCUCGGUCCAUAUGCUU